GUUUAAAAUCACCGUUGAGAUGUUCUCUCCAGAGCGUCAUUUGUGCAAUGAAUGGAGGUGCUAGAGACCCGGUGGGGAUGAUUUCUGACAGUGACCAUGUAACUGUCGUGUAGUGCAAACAUUAAGGUGUUAUCAAAAGGGACCGUGUCUUUGAGCACUUGAUUUUACUGAAGAUACAGACAGUGCUUUUGACCAUCUUUGGUUGUAGACCAGAUGCCCAACUCAGAGGCCCCACCACCUGCCCUCCGCCCACAGAGACGAGAGCCAGUCCUGGACAAGGUGGUGAUGCCAGGCGGCCACUGAGUGACGUGCUCCAUGGCUCGAGGGCUGGAACGGAGCCAGAGGUGAAGCACCUUGGGUCCCCCCAAGUAUCUGUGCUCCUAGAGGAUCUUUUCUCCUCAAAAGUGGAAUCAUACGGCCCAGCUUUGGAAUUGCUGGGAGAAUAUGAAGGAGAAUGACCCUUGCUUUGCCAAAUGUAGCUUUAAAAUUAGGAUUCAGAGAACCAUCAUCUAAUUUCCUCAGCAAUCUCUUUUAGGGUCUUUGCUUCUUCCCUGGAGCCAGAGGCUGAGCUACUGUCCUGGUGUCACCUAGGGAGAUGAGACUCGCCACAUACUGCCCACCUCCAGAACAGCGAGGGCAGAGGCCAAAGCCCUCCUGGGGACGCCCUGACUCCUGAGCUUCACACGGCUAAGUCCACAAAUGGUUCUUCUGGAUGGUUCCAGAGCUGUAGGAAAAUCUCCCCUAGAAGCUCAAAGGUGACUGGGCUCAGGCUCAGAGGUGGCCUUCUAGGUGCAAGGGAGGGACUGUGUGGCCACCCCACUGACUUGCCCAGGGACAUGGUCAGCCUGCGAUCAGAGCUGGUGCAGCUUGCCUGCUCGGUCAGCAGCGUGAUGGCCAUGGUGUAGAGGCGGUAGCCCAGCAUGAGAAGGAGGGUGCAGGGCAGGGGCCUGAUGCAGGACAGAGGCCACAAAGAAGGCCAGCAGGAGUGACAGCAGUGUCUGAUAGCUGCCCAGGAAGCAUAGGCUGAGCCUGGGGUGCCAGCCAUAACCAGCCGUGUGCCCCCACCACACAUGGUGCAGCAGGUGCCUGUCUGGCAGCCUGGGCUCCGUGAGGUGGUAGUGACAGAAGCUGCUGAAGAAGUCAGCCCAGGAAUACAGGGCAGCCAUCUGGCCUGCAAACUAGAGCACCGACAGAGACAUGGGAGAGUGGGCAUGGGUGGGGUCUGCACUUUCCACCUGGCCUCUCCCAUAGGCUGGCAGGACAGGAAGCCAGCAUGGAGACGAGGGUGCGGCUCUCCCGCCCACACUCAUCCUGUGGUUGAUGGCGGAAGACAGCCGGAUCAGGCCAGCAAUCUCAUAGCUCUGGAUGGGCUACAGCUCUGCACUGCCCUGGUACUUGAUGUCAAACUUGCGCAGCCUGUUGAUGAUCUAGAAGCAGCAGGAGAGGUGAACGCCAGGUGAAACAUGGGUCAUGGGCGCAAUCCAGAAAAUACACCUUUGCUAAUGACUCAGAGGAGAUGUGUCUGUUACAGGGGUGAUGGGGGAGACGAGGACAGGCUGGCAGGACCAACGGCCAUGCUGCCUGGAAAGCCAGACAUCUCCGGGAUGUAGACCUUACCUGGUACUGGCCCAGGGGUGUGAGGAUGAGUCCGUCCUCACUGGCAGUGCAGUCUGGGAGCUGCUUUUUCCCAUUCUCCCCAAGGCAAGUGUGAGCCUCUGCCACUGCAAGACCAAGCCACACGCACAGGGGCUGAGAAAGGCUCCCCAGACCCCAGGGGAGAAGCUCCCCUGACCCCCGACUACCCAUGCGCUGGCCAGGAACAGGCAGCAAGUCUGCUCUGGAAACAGGAGGGCAGUGCAGGGGCUGUGCAACAUGAGAGGCCAAGUGCAGGAAGGUGUCAGACCCCACCUACCACAAAAACGGCUGCCUGCUGACGCACUGGAGGAAAUGGAGGGCAGUGUGAGCCCCAGAGUGGGCUGGGUCUGCUGGGGGCCACCUCAGCAGGAAAGCAGGAGGCACUGUAAUGGUAGAGGGGACAGACCCAGAUGUGACUCCCAGAGGCAUCGUGGCUCUCCCCGCCCCGGAGCACAAGCACCACAACCUCAUCUGCUCCUGUGGCCAGGGAGGGGGCUCUGGAAGUAGCACAGGGAGGACCCCAGAAAGGACAGGCCUCCAGCCCUCAGGGUCCAAGUCCGGCACAGAACAAAACCCACCUGCUGUUCAGCAACUGAGUGAGGGGUGAAGCUGGGUUUCUGCUUCCCACCAUCCAGCCCUUGGACACUAGCUGCGAUCGAGGACAAGGAGCAGCCGGUUGACCAGGCACACCAGGGCCAGAGCAGGAGAGGGGAAGACAGCUUGCGGCAACAUCCUUGGUGUGAGGGGACGGCAUUUUUGGGUACACGUCUAAGGAAUAAUGAUGAAGGCACAGUUCAACAAAAACCUGCAAAGAGCAUUAGCUGGUCAAAUGAUUUUUGACAAGGGUGUCAACACCAUUCAAUGGGGAAAGGACGGUCUUUACAACAAAUGCUGCCAGGAAACCAGGAUGUCCACAUGCAAAUUAAUGAAGCCGGACCCUUACUCAAAAAAAAAAACUCAAAGUGGACCAAAGACUUAAAUGUAAGAGCUGAAACUAUAAAACUCUUACAAGAAAGCAUGAGGAGAGAGCUUCAUGACACUGAAUUUGGCAAUGAUCUCUUAGAUAUGACUCCAAAACACAUGCAACAAAGGAAAAAAAACAGACAAAUUGGACUUCAGGAAAAUUAAAAACUUUGUGCAUCAAAAGACACUAUCAACAGAAUAAAAAGGCAACCCACAGAAUGGAGGAAAAUAUUUGCAAAUUAUGUGUCUUAUAAGGGAUUAAUAUCCAGAAUAUGUAGAGAACUCCUAAAACUAGGCGAUAAAAAAAACAACAACCCAAUUCAAAAAUGGGCAAAGGAUUUGAAUAGACAUUUCUCCAAAGAAGACAAACAAACAGCCAAUAAGGACCUGAGAAGAUGUUCAAUACUAGUAAUCAUUACAACAAUGCUAACCGAAAUCAAAAUGAGAUACCAACUCACAUCCAUGAGGAUGGCUGUAAUCAGAAAACAGAAAAUAAAGAGCAUUGGUGAGGCUAUAGAGAAACUGAACCCUUGUGCAUUAAUGGAAAGAAUGUAAAAUGGUGCAGUCACUGUGGAAAGCAGUAUCACAGUUCCUGAAAAAAUUAAACAGAAUUACCAGAUGGUCCAGUAAUUCCACUUCUGGGUAUAUACCUCGCAGAAAUUGAAAGUAGCAUCUGGAAGAGAUAUUUGCGCAUCCAUGUUCAUAGCAGCAUUAUUUUCAAUAGUCAAGAGGUGGAAGCAACCCAAGUGUCCAUCGACAGAUGAAUGGAUAAACAAAAUGUGGUAUAUCCAUACAAUGGAAUAUUAUUUGGCCUUAAAAAGGAAAGAAAUUUUGACUCAUGCUACAGUGUAGAUGAACCUUGAAGACACUAUGCUAAGUGAAAUAAGUCAGUCAUAAAAAGACAAAUACUGUGUAAUUCCACUCAUCUAGGCUCCUAGCAUAGUCAGAUUCACAGAGACAGAAAGUAGAACGGUGGUUGCCAGGGGUUGGGAGGAGGGGGAAAUGAGGAAUUGCUGUUUAAUGGGUAGAGUUUCAGAUUUACAAGAUAAAAACGUUCUGGAGAUCCAUUACAACGUGAAUAUACUCAAUACUACUGAACCGUAUACUUUAAAAUGGUUAAGAUGUAAAUUUUAUGUUAUGUGUAUUUUACCAUAAUUCCAAAAGAUUUUUAAUUAAAAAAAAAGGGGCAGCCCUGUGGGGCGUGGUCUGCUUUGGUGGCUAGGGGUUCACUGGUUUAGAUCCUGGGUGCAGACUGCUUAUUAAGCCAUGCUGUGGCAGCAUCCCUUGCAGAAGAACUAGAAUGACUUACAAUUAUGUACUGGGGCUUUGGGGAGGAAAAAAAAGAGGACUGGCAACAGAUGUUAGCUCAGGGCCAAUCUUCCUCACCAAAGAAAAAAAAGAGCAUUAGCGUUUCAGUCCAGGAAACAACCCUCCAGUUCCUC
ensembl:lncRNA